UACGAAGGGGGCUAGCGUUGUUCGGAAUCACUGGGCGUAAAGCGCACGCAGGCGGAUCGAUAAGUCGGGGGUGAAAGCCCGGGGCUCAACCUCGGAAUUGCCUUCUAAACUGUCGGUCUCGAGUCCGGGAGAGGUGAGUGGAAUUCCUAGUGUAGAGGUGAAAUUCGUAGAUAUUAGGAUGAACACCAGUUGCGAAGGCGGCUCACUGGUCCGGUUCUGACGCUCAGGUGCGAAAGCGUGGGGAGCAAACAGG
rnacentral:rRNA from 1 species